rnacentral:rRNA from 1 species
AAGUCGUAACAAGGUUUCCGUAGGUGAACCUGCGGAAGGAUCAUUACAAGAAACGAGGCCGCGUGCGUGCGCUCGCCCGCCCGGCCCCGCUCCUUACCUUGCCUACUGCACCGUUUGUUGCUUCCUGGCGGCGGACUGCCCGCCGCCAGGGACGUUGAUACAACCCUGUAUAGAAGCAUUGAAGCUCUGAGAAAACGCGAAAUCGUACAACUUUCAACAAUGGAUCUCUUGGUUCUGGCAUCGAUGAAGAACGCAGCGAAAUGCGAUAAGUAGUGUGAAUUGCAGAAUUCAGUGAAUCAUCGAAUCUUUGAACGCACAUUGCGCCCCUUGGCAUUCCAUGGGGCAUGCCUGUUCGAGCGUCAUCUAAACCCUCAAGCCCCCGGCUUGGUGUUGGGUGCCUGUCCCCGCUCCCCGCGCGGACUCACCCCAAAUGCAUUGGCAGCCGCCUCUCGGCUUCUUGCGCAGCACAGUGCGCAGCGAGGCGAGGUGAGGCGUGCGUCCAGCAAGCAACCACCCAAGUUUGACCUCGGAUCAGGUAGGGAUACCCGCUGAACUUAA